GGUUAAGCGACUAAGCGUACACGGUGGAUGCCCUGGCAGUCAGAGGCGAUGAAGGACGUGCUAAUCUGCGAAAAGCGUCGGUAAGGUGAUAUGAACCGUUAUAACCGGCGAUGUCCGAAUGGGGAAACCCAGUGUGAUUCGUCACACUAUCGUUAACUGAAUACAUAGGUUAACGAGGCGAACCGGGGGAACUGAAACAUCUAAGUACCCCGAGGAAAAGAAAUCAACCGAGAUUCCCCCAGUAGCGGCGAGCGAACGGGGAGCAGCCCAGAGUCUGAAUCAGCUUGUGUGUUAGUGGAACGGUCUGGAAAGUCCGACGGUACAGGGUGAUAGUCCCGUACACCAAAAUGCACAGGUUGUGAACUCGAAGAGUAGGGCGGGACACGUGGUAUCCUGUCUGAAUAUGGGGGGACCAUCCUCCAAGGCUAAAUACUCCUGACUGACCGAUAGUGAACCAGUACCGUGAGGGAAAGGCGAAAAGAACCCCGGCGAGGGGAGUGAAAAAGAACCUGAAACCGUGUACGUACAAGCAGUGGGAGCACCUUCGGGUGUGACUGCGUACCUUUUGUAUAAUGGGUCAGCGACUUAUAUUCUGUAGCAAGGUUAACCGUAUAGGGGAGCCGCAGGGAAACCGAGUCUUAACUGGGCGUUAAGUUGCAGGGUAUAGACCCGAAACCCGGUGAUCUAGCCAUGGGCAGGUUGAAGGUUGGGUAACACUAACUGGAGGACCGAACCGACUAAUGUUGAAAAAUUAGCGGAUGACUUGUGGCUGGGGGUGAAAGGCCAAUCAAACCGGGAGAUAGCUGGUUCUCCCCGAAAGCUAUUUAGGUAGCGCCUCGUGAACUCAUCUUCGGGGGUAGAGCACUGUUUCGGCUAGGGGGUCAUCCCGACUUACCAACCCGAUGCAAACUACGAAUACCGAAGAAUGUUAUCACGGGAGACACACGGCGGGUGCUAACGUCCGUCGUGAAGAGGGAAACAACCCAGACCGCCAGCUAAGGUCCCAAAGUCAUGGUUAAGUGGGAAACGAUGUGGGAAGGCACAGACAGCCAGGAUGUUGGCUUAGAAGCAGCCAUCAUUUAAAGAAAGCGUAAUAGCUCACUGGUCGAGUCGGCCUGCGCGGAAGAUGUAACGGGGCUAAACCAUGCACCGAAGCUGCGGCAGCGACACUAUGUGUUGUUGGGUAGGGGAGCGUUCUGUAAGCCUGCGAAGGUGACCUGUGAGGGUUGCUGGAGGUAUCAGAAGUGCGAAUGCUGACAUAAGUAACGAUAAAGCGGGUGAAAAGCCCGCUCGCCGGAAGACCAAGGGUUCCUGUCCAACGUUAAUCGGGGCAGGGUGAGUCGACCCCUAAGGCGAGGCCGAAAGGCGUAGUCGAUGGGAAACAGGUUAAUAUUCCUGUACUUGGUGUUACUGCGAAGGGGGGACGGAGAAGGCUAUGUUAGCCGGGCGACGGUUGUCCCGGUUUAAGCAUGUAGGCUGAUUGUCCAGGCAAAUCCGGAUAAUCAAGGCUGAGGUGUGAUGACGAGGCACUACGGUGCUGAAGUAACAAAUGCCCUGCUUCCAGGAAAAGCCUCUAAGCAUCAGGUAACAUCAAAUCGUACCCCAAACCGACACAGGUGGUCAGGUAGAGAAUACCAAGGCGCUUGAGAGAACUCGGGUGAAGGAACUAGGCAAAAUGGUGCCGUAACUUCGGGAGAAGGCACGCUGGUGUGUAGGUGAAGUCCCUGCGGAUGGAGCUGAGACCAGUCGAAGAUACCAGCUGGCUGCAACUGUUUAUUAAAAACACAGCACUGUGCAAACACGAAAGUGGACGUAUACGGUGUGACGCCUGCCCGGUGCCGGAAGGUUAAUUGAUGGGGUUAUCCGUAAGGAGAAGCUCUUGAUCGAAGCCCCGGUAAACGGCGGCCGUAACUAUAACGGUCCUAAGGUAGCGAAAUUCCUUGUCGGGUAAGUUCCGACCUGCACGAAUGGCGUAAUGAUGGCCAGGCUGUCUCCACCCGAGACUCAGUGAAAUUGAACUCGCUGUGAAGAUGCAGUGUACCCGCGGCAAGACGGAAAGACCCCGUGAACCUUUACUAUAGCUUGACACUGAACAUUGAGCCUUGAUGUGUAGGAUAGGUGGGAGGCUUUGAAGCGUGGACGCCAGUCUGCGUGGAGCCAACCUUGAAAUACCACCCUUUAAUGUUUGAUGUUCUAACGUUGGCCCCUUACCGGGGUUGCGGACAGUGUCUGGUGGGUAGUUUGACUGGGGCGGUCUCCUCCCAAAGCGUAACGGAGGAGCACGAAGGUUAGCUAAUCCUGGUCGGACAUCAGGAGGUUAGUGCAAUGGCAUAAGCUAGCUUGACUGCGAGCGUGACGGCGCGAGCAGGUGCGAAAGCAGGUCAUAGUGAUCCGGUGGUUCUGAAUGGAAGGGCCAUCGCUCAACGGAUAAAAGGUACUCCGGGGAUAACAGGCUGAUACCGCCCAAGAGUUCAUAUCGACGGCGGUGUUUGGCACCUCGAUGUCGGCUCAUCACAUCCUGGGGCUGAAGUAGGUCCCAAGGGUAUGGCUGUUCGCCAUUUAAAGUGGUACGCGAGCUGGGUUUAGAACGUCGUGAGACAGUUCGGUCCCUAUCUGCCGUGGGCGCUGGAGAAUUGAGGGGGGCUGCUCCUAGUACGAGAGGACCGGAGUGGACGCAUCACUGGUGUUCGGGUUGUCAUGCCAAUGGCACUGCCCGGUAGCUAAAUGCGGAAGAGAUAAGUGCUGAAAGCAUCUAAGCACGAAACUUGCCCCGAGAUGAGUUCUCCCUGAGACUUUAAGUCUCCUGAAGGAACGUUGAAGACGACGACGUUGAUAGGCCGGGUGUGUAAGCGCAGCGAUGCGUUGAGCUAACCGGUACUAAUGAACCGUGAGGCUUAACCUU
rnacentral:rRNA from 2 species